rnacentral:rRNA from 1 species
UGGGGAAUAUUGCACAAUGGGGGAAACCCUGAUGCAGCGACGCCGCGUGAAGGAAGAAGUAUCUCGGUAUGUAAACUUCUAUCAGCAGGGAAGAUAGUGACGGUACCUGACUUAAGAAGCCCCGGCUAACUACGUGCC